UAGGGAAUCUUCGGCAAUGGACGGAAGUCUGACCGAGCAACGCCGCGUGAGUGAAGAAGGUUUUCGGAUCGUAAAGCUCUGUUGUAAGAGAAGAAUGAGUGUGAGAGUGGAAAGUUCACACUGUGACGGUAUCUUACCAGAAAGGGACGGCUAACUACGUGCCAGCAGCCGCGGUAAUACGUAGUCCCCAAGCGUUUCUCCGGAUUUAUUGGGCGUAAAGCGAGCGCAGGCGGUUAGAUAAGUCUGAAGUUAAAGGCUGUGGCUUAACCAUAGUACGCUUUGGAAACUGUUUAACUUGAGUGCAAGAGGGGAGAGUGGAAUUCCAUGUGUAGCGGUGAAAUGCGUAGAUAUAUGGAGGAACACCGGUGGCGAAAGCGGCUCUCUGGCUUGUAACUGACGCUGAGGCUCGAAAGCGUGGGGAGCAAACAGGAUUAGAUACCCUGGUAGUCCACGCCGUAAACGAUGAGUUCUUGGUGGUUGACCCUUUCCGGGGUUUAGUGCCGUAGCUAACGCAUUAAGCACUCCGCCUGGGGAGUACGACCGCAAGGUUG
rnacentral:rRNA from 1 species